GCCCUCUUGGCCUAACGGAUAAGGCAUCGGUCUCCUAAACCGGAUUGCGGGUUCAGAUCGCCGAGGGUA
rnacentral:tRNA from 13 species